rnacentral:rRNA from 1 species
AGUCAAUAGAUACCCUGGUAGUCCACGCCGUAAACGAUGAGUACUAGGUGUAGGAGGUAUCGACUCCUUCUGUGCCGCAGUUAACACAAUAAGUACUCCGCCUGGGAAGUACGGUCGCAAGAUUAAAAACUCAAAGGAAUUGACGGGGGCCCGCACAAGCAGCGGAGCAUGUGGUUUAAUUCGAAGCAACGCGAAGAACCUUACCUAGACUCGACAUCUCCUGAAUAGUGUAGAGAUACAUGAAGCCCUUCGGGGCAGGAAGACAGGUGGUGCAUGGUUGUCGUCAGCUCGUGUCGUGAGAUGUUGGGUUGAGUCCCGCAACGAGCGCAACCCUUAUUACUAGUUGCUACCAUUAAGUUGAGCACUCUAGUGAGACUGCCCGGGUUAACCGGGAGGAAGGCGGGGAUGACGUCAAAUCAUCAUGCCCCUUAUGUCUAGGGCAACACACGUGCUACAAUGGUGAGUACAGACAGAUGCGAUACCGCAAGGUGGAGCCAAACUCU